rnacentral:rRNA from 1 species
CUACGUAGGUGACAAGCGUUAUCCGGAUUUACUGGGCGUAAAGGGCGUGUAGGCGGUCUUGCAAGUCAGAAGUGAAAUUCCUGAGCUCAACUCGGGCGCUGCUUCUGAAACUGCAGGACUUGAGUGCUGGAGGGGAUAGCGGAAUUCCUAGUGGAGCGGUAAAAUGCGCAGAUAUUAGGAAGAACACCGGUGGCGAAGGCGGCUAUCUGGACAGUAACGGACGCUGGGGCGCGAAAGCGGGGGGAGCAAACAGGACUAGAUCCCCUGGUAGUCCACGCCGUAAACGAUUAAUACUAGGUGUAGGGGGUAUCGACUCCCUCUGUGCCGCAGUUAACACAAUAAGUAUUCCGCCUGGGGAGUACGGCCGCAAGGUUGAAACUCAAAUGAAUUGACGGGG